AGCAGUGUUGAGAAAAAACUGUGGAUCCUGGAAUUUUACUGUGGAUUUUACUGGUUUUCUGGAGUGCUCUCCCGCUGAAGUAGCGAUCUGGUUCUCCAGAGUGGCUGUGCAGGAGCUGAUGUGCCUGUGUUCAGAGGUGAGUUGGGAAGGUAAGCUCAUGUCCCACCUGCUCCAAAAUACCUGCAGCAUCUGCGUCCCUCUGGGUAAAUGCAGGUCCCUCUGACACACGUGUCCCUUCUUGGUACUGCAGGUAAUACCUGGGAGAUAUUCAGGUGAACUCAAAUUACCCUGUUCAGCUGCCAAUUUCUGAUGUAAAGUUAAGUUUACAAAGCACAAACUAAGUUUGAAAGAAGCUGAAGUGGGAGAUGGGAUAAUUCAAACAUGGAACUUUAUUGCAUGAAAUAUUGAUGCAGUCAUGUCAUAAAUGUGCAUAUUUUCUCAGAUACGUAUUUCACUGCCUAUCCCAAAUUUCCAGUUGCCCAACACUUGGUGUGACUGUUAAUUUUCCCUCUGUGCUAGAGGCUGGUAGAGGUGUAUUGAACCCUUGCUUUAAAAGUCCUUACUGAAAAGAGCUCUUGCCCUUGUUGAACUAGGCAAAAGUCUGGUUUAUAUAAAUAUAAAAACAUUAAUUAAAAUGUAAACCUCAAGCCGCUAUCAAAAUGGAUUCUAAAGCUGAAUGUGUUUGCUGUUGCAUUUUUCUUUUGGAUUCAUUUGAAGAGAUGAAAGAAAUAAGAUUGCACAGGUAGAGUCAAGUAAAACAUUGUUGCAGAAGUAAUUAAUGGUAAUAUUAUGUGGGGGGUGUUUUGAUUUAGCUCGUGCAGGCUGAACACUGGGCACGUGUUUGCUUUGCAGCAAGUAGCAGCUGCUCAUUAGGGAGUUGGCCCUGGUGCUGUCAGUGUUAAGGACGCUGAAGUGGUGAAAAUAUACUGGUUUUUUGUCAGCAAAUAUUUGAUUUCAAAUUUGAAAUCGCUUGGCAUGGGUCACGAGAGCUUUUGUGAUUCCUAUUUUCAAGUUUGCUAAAGAGGCAGGGACUCAGUGGCGCGUUGGGCACGAGGGGAUGGCACAAGAAUUUGAACCCAGGGCGUCACUUCUGACAUUGUUCAGGUUUUUUUGUGAUGCUGCUUUUUAAGAAAAUGAAUUGAAGGAAGUUGUCCCAUAACUGGUGGGGCGGGGGGGGGGGAAUGUUGAAAGGAAA